GUGCAAACUCAUUCACUAACUAUGCGUGAUGUUGCAGAACUGAGGGGAAUUCGGUUUGCUAAAGUAAUUGUGAUUGAAAUGUAAUAGCCUCAGAAACAGCUGAGUUGGUCCAUUCUCUCCUCAUACAGUG